AUUGAACGCUGGCGGCAGGCCUAACACAUGCAAGUCGAACGGUAACAGGAAGCAGCUUGCUGCUUUGCUGACGAGUGGCGGACGGGUGAGUAAUGUCUGGGAAACUGCCCGAUGGAGGGGGAUAACUACUGGAAACGGUAGCUAAUACCGCAUAACGUCGCAAGACCAAAGAGGGGGACCUUAGGGCCUCUUGCCAUCGGAUGUGCCCAGAUGGGAUUAGCUAGUAGGUGGGGUAACGGCUCACCUAGGCGACGAUCCCUAGCUGGUCUGAGAGGAUGACCAGCCACACUAGAACUGACAUACGGACCACACGCCUGCGUGAGGGAGGUGGGGGGAAGCUUGCACAGGGGGCGCAAGCCUGAUGCAGACAUGUCGUGUGUAUGAGGGUGGCCUUGGUGUUGGAAAGUUCGUGCAGCGGGGAGGAAGGAAGUAAAGUUACUACCUUUGCUCAUUUACGUUACCCGAAGAAGAAGCCCCGGCCAACUCCGAGCCAUCCGCGUCGGUAAUAAGCGAAGAGCACACUUGUGACC
rnacentral:rRNA from 1 species